rnacentral:rRNA from 1 species
UACAGAGGGGGCAAGCGUUAUUCGGAAUUAUUGGGCGUAAAGGGCGCGUAGGCGGCCUGGCAAGUGGAAGGUGAAAUCCCUCGGCUUAACCGAGGAACUGCCCUCCAAACUGCUUGGCUUGAGUCCGGGGAGGUGAGUGGAAUUCCCAGUGUAGCGGUGAAAUGCGUAGAUAUUGGGAGGAACACCAGUGGCGAAGGCGGCUCACUGGACCGGAACUGACGCUGAGGCGCGAAAGCGUGGGGAGCAAACGGG